rnacentral:tRNA from 1 species
GGUGGCUCAGUGUUAGAGUGCUUGCCUCGCAUGCAUGAGGUCUUGGGUUCGAUUCCUCAGCACCA